rnacentral:rRNA from 1 species
GCGUGAGUGAUGAAGGCCUUAGGGUUGUAAAGCUCUUUCGACGGGGACGAUAAUGACGGUACCCGUAGAAGAAGCCCCGGCUAACUUCGUGCCAGCAGCCGCGGUAAUACGAAGGGGGCUAGCGUUGCUCGGAAUCACUGGGCGUAAAGGGCGCGUAGGCGGCCGUUCAAGUCAGAGGUGAAAGCCCAGGGCUUAACCCUGGAAUUGCCUUUGAUACUGUUCGGCUAGAGACCGGAAGAGGUGAGUGGAACUGCGAGUGUAGAGGUGAAAUUCGU